CUUCCAGCAGCAGCGGCUGUUGAAAUGGAGCUUGUGCAGACUUACAGUUCCACAUCAUACUUCAAUGUGUCAUUUGCCUAUGUUGGUGUCCAUGCAGUGUUGAACAGUUGGGCAAAAUAGCCGAUGUUGCAUGAUGACUGUCAGGCAUAUUUUAUCGGCUGAAUGUUGUCGUCUCUUGCUAGCUACAUGUACCGGCGUUGAGUUCAAGAGUUCACCGCCGUUUCAUUGACGUGAAACUGAGGAGAGGUUGCUGAACUCAAACAUUGACUUUCAAUCAUGCGCUUUUCAAGUUUUAGUCGAGGAAACGUGAAAGUGGUGCCGCCUAUACCAUCAACUAUUUUGUUCAAAAUCACUGUAUUCUGCUGAAUGUUCCAUCGGAAUUAUACAGGAUUCAUCACAAUUAUCUGCUGUUUGUAUUGGACUUGCUCGUUCACCAACCCUGGCAUGUACCAAGCUCUCAUUCCAUCUUCUAGAAUACUUUGGAUAACUGAUCAUCACUGAUCAGUGGUUUCAUGUAUAAGUUCACUUGUCUUUAUUGCAGUCUAAUAUGUAUUUAAAGUAUUGAUCUGCGCUUACACCUAUCAAAUGUUUAAGAGGCAAUUUCGUUGUAAUACUGACAACUAUUUAAUGAGAACAACAACAACAACAACUAUUGACCGGAAGACGUCCAUCCAGGAGUCCAUCCGGUUUUGGCAUUGGAACGACGGACUGGCAAAGACCCACCCUGAGAUGAUCGUUGCCUUGAGCACUCCGCCCAACACCAACUUUAUCCCUGCCAUUGGGCGUCUUAUUCCUCACGUCGGAGCGGCUCCGUUCCUCACGCCGUCUGCCCCCACGUCAUCUUCUCUCUGCAGCCCAUCGCUGCAGUUAACCGCAACAACGUUCCUUUCUGCUGUUCUCCGCCUGAUCCUCAAUGCCAGUGAGACCACCGAGAUCCGUAUCGCCGCCGUCUCCACCAUGUUCCACGAGUUGAAACAAACAUAGUUUUGAUUGUUUGCUGACCUAGAAACUCAUUUUGACGUGACAAAAGAUAGCUGCUGAAUAGAAGCUACAUCAAGAUUCAAGCUACAGGCAAGCCCUUCCAAUUGAUCAAUCACGUUUGGAUUUUAAGUUUAAUUUAUUUAGCACAUUUUUAAAUUUCGUUAAAUAAUUUUUAUUUUUAAAAUUAAGACGAUUAAGACUUAAAGAAAAUAGUAUAAAAUUUGAGAUAAAAUUGAUUGAAAUAUUUAUUAGAUCAAGAUUUCAAUUUUUCAUGUUGUUACGGCUUACUUUAUUCAUCAGACUUGGUCAAAUAUUUGUUUUUAUUUGUUUGUCUCGCAAUCAAUGUUGGUUCCACGUCGGGCACCCUUUCUACAACCAGCAGUACGCGAUGACAAGCAGCACUUCGAGAAGUCUUUUACAAAGUUGAAAACUACUUCGGCGCAAGUAAUACCAACAACCACGUUGGUAAGCUGAGUAAAAAUCAGGAAAGACGACUCGAUAAUAUCCAGGCGUUCAAUCAUGACUAUAAUCAUCAAGGGCUCAAGGCGUUGAUGUCAGUAAUUGAGACCAGGUGGGGAAUCAAUACUUGAGAGACUACACAAAAAAGAAAUAAAAGAUGGAUGAUGCCAAAUGCUUGGGUUGGCCGCCCAUAUUCAAGUAAUCGUCAAUCUGAUGCCCUUUGAACCAAUAUACGUAAGUGAAGAAGAAGCAGCAACAGCUGCCCUAUCUUUAAAAGUGAUCUCCAGUUUAAUACAGCUGCCGAAAUGGUCAGACACGGAUUACGAACUUAAUUCGCCCGUUUAGUGUCACUAAUUUGCCAUUAUUUGUUUGAACGCAUGCAAAGCAUUGGACUCCAACAUCCCCACAAUUAACCGACACAAUUAACCGAAAUUCGGACGCUAUAUUCUUGCCGGAAGGGACAACAGAUAUUCUACCGGGUUCGCCAUCUCUCAUAUCGGUCUAUUACAGCGGUAAUCAACACUCAAGUACAACGGCGUAUACAAGAUUGUUCCUCGUCCAACGACCAGUCCUUCAAAAACUGAGUUUUGAAACGUGUCAAACAGAUGGCGUGUUGAUUGUGUCAGUUAUGGGCUUAUCGCUUAUGGCGGUUUGCUGUCAAAACUUAAGCUAUCUUUUCUUCGAAAAUUACCAAGGAAUUCAUGGAGGAGGAAACGUGAAAGUCGUGCAGCCUACCGU